ensembl:rRNA 5S_rRNA 5S ribosomal RNA
GCCUUUGGCCAUACUACAUUGAAUGUGCUUGAUCUCAUCGGCUCUAGGAAACUGAGCCGGCUCAGCCUGCUUAGUACUUAGAUAGGGAGUCUGCUUAGGAAUAUCCGGUGCUGUAGGUU